rnacentral:lncRNA from 1 species
AUGAAGAGGAUGAAUCUGGGAAAGGAAAAACACAUAAGGGAACUAUCAAACAAGUCAAACUAGCACAAUAUUUCUAAAACACUAAUCUACAAACAUCUAACAAGAAAGAAUGAAACAUAUAAAAGACUCACAAGGAUCUUAUAUUAAUUAUAGGAACUGUCUGAUAUAUGAAUGUCGUGUAUGUGAGGUAACGAGUGCAUAGACAGACUAUUUGUUGAAAACCCCUGUUUUCAUUAAGCAAAUAUCUGUUUUCCUUUAAUUGAGCAACACUAGCAUAUGUAACUAUCCUGUUUAGUUUAGGAAAGCAUGCGUGUGUGCCUUAAGACUAUCUAAACUCUGCUACAUGUUUUAGUGAAAUUUCCUGUUCUUCCUUAACUCGGAUUGCGCCUAAAUUGUGAUUUUCUUGUUGUAACUGUUAUCUCUGUUAGUUUACUUGCAUAUUUGCUUUGGGACUACAAAGCGGUAUUGCAGUAGAUCCCUCAUGUACUCCAGAUUUACUUUUGGACUACAGAAUGGUAUUCCAGGAGAUUCUCCAGCACUACAUAUUUACUUUGAGACUAUGGAAUUGUAUUCCGGGAGAUGCCCCCGCGCAUUUGUGUUGGGACUACAAAAUGGUAUCCCCCUAUUGUUAUUACUGCGUUCUGAGCUGUUGGUAUUCUAUUCCUGUUAGUUUGCCGUAUUUAGUUUCUACUGUAGUAUUCUUUCUGUCUUAUUUCAUUAUAUUUAUACUAGUAGGGCCCUGACCUGAUCUCGUCACUACUUGACCGGUGUUAUCCUUGGAACUUUACUGUUGUGAUGUACUUAUUCCCUUUCCUGCAUAUAUUUUUCUUGCGCAGAUCCAGGUACUAUCUCUCAGUCUCGAGUCUAGCUGUGUGGUUGCUGCUUCAGGAGAAUUCAAGGUACAUCUGCCCAUAUUCGCAGACCUCGGAGUCCCCUUCUGUCCCCUAUGUUUUCUUCCUUUCUAUAGAAAUGAUGUAUAGAACCGUUACGAAUUCUUAAACGCUUGUGACAUUGUGAUAUUUAAGGUUUUGGGAAAGAUGAUUAUUGUAUAUGUCUAGUGGCACGUUUCUGCUUAUUAACUAUAUCUGUCAGUUGUUAUCCUUGUGUUUCAUUUCAUUUUAGCAAUAUUAAACUUAUCUAAGUGAAGAGACUAGGUGUCGUUACGGCAGUUCACGGAGGGAGAAAUUGGAUUGUGACAUAUAAGGAGUUGGGGGAAGGGUGAGGGAAUGGGGGAAGGGUAAGGAAAGUAGCAUAAAAAAAUAUUUCCCUAAAAAAUAUUUUCUACUCUCUAACCCAACAAUAAAAAAUAUUUUUCGAAAAAAUAUUUUCACUUACCAAACAAACAAGGAAAAAUAAGUGAUAAAAUCACUCAUUUUUCAUAAAAAUAUUUUUUAGGAAAAUAUUUUCCUUCGUAUCAAACACACCUAAUAGCUUUCUUCCUUCAUAACAAUUCCAUUCUUAUCUUGGUAUUGCUGCUCCAACCAAUUAAAUAUUAUUAUUUAUCCUCAAUAUUCACCAUAACCAUUUUUAAUAAGGAUUAUUUUAGAAAAAUAUUUUACUCUCGUCUACUAAACACGAAAAAUAUAUGUUUUAAGAACAAAUUGUUGAUAUUUGAAUUUGAAUUAUGUCAAAAACGAACAAUUCGUGCAGUAAUUUGAAAUGAUGAUUGCAGGUCUCUACUAUUUGGUGUGUGGUAUUCUACUUUGAUACAUCUGUUUAGAUAAAUUAAUAAAAUGAUAGACUACUUAGCUAAAAAUGGGUGUAGAAGCUCAAUGAUCUCAACUUUUCCAACGCUUUUGUUAUUACUAUAUUUGAAAGGGAUAGAAUAGGUACUAUGUUGCUUAGUCUAGUCUUUAUUAUAACAUAGUUUCAACGAUGAAAAAUAAUAUUAUGUUUGUUGCCGGUGUCCAAGAUGAAGAAAUACUCAAGACAAAAAGCAAGGCGGAAGAAAGGAAAAGAAGAUUUUCCCUUUUCAUAAAAGAUCUAUGAAAGAAAGCAAUCCAGGAUAUUCAAGGAAGGAAGAUCCAAAUUAGCAGAAGAUCAUUAUUUAAAUGAUUGCAUUAAUCAUCAAUCCAAUUUUUAAGAGGAGCAACAUGCCAAGCCUAAAAUUCUGCUCGGAUUAUAGAGUUUACUUAGCAUAAGAAUCAAGUGGUGUGUGAAGAAGAAACUCAUCAACACAAGUGUAAUAAGAACAUCAUGGAGCGUUGAAGAUAAACUAUCUAACAAUCGAAGGAACUGGACUAGAAUUCGCAUUGAAUCUGAACCACUAUAAUAAUAUCUUGUGUCAUUAGAUUUUUGAAUCUUUUGUUUUAUACCUAUUAUUUGUUAUACUUGCCACUAAUCUCUAAGUUGACUAACCAAUAAACUAGUCGACUAGUAUUCAAAAAUUUAAAAGGGCAAUAGUUAACCCCCUCCCCAUUUGUAUCUUUAAUUGGUAUCAUAGUAGGUCUUACAUUUUAAGCAUUGCUUAAAAGCUUCUGAGAAAAGAUCAUGUUAAAUAAAAUAAUUGCUGGAGCCUACUUCAAAAAGGAAUAUCGCAGGCUAGGCAUCCUUAUUUCAACGGACAAUACUUUUCACAUUGGAAGGUUCUCAUGAAAAUCUAUGCUAAAUCUUAUAAUGUCAUCAUGUAAUCAAGAAGGGAGAGUAUCCAAUUACAAUAGUCUGGCAUGAAAAUGGUGAUGGAUUGCUUUAAGGGUGUUCGUAACACGCAGCGGAAGAAAAUAACAAUCUUAAGUAGAUUUUCUCAUGUUUAAAAUUUAUUUACGUGUCAAAAAUAGGAUUUAAGACGUACCGGGUGAAGAGAGUUUCUUUACCGAAAUUUCUUCGAUAGUGCGAAGUCUCUAUGCGUAUCCACACCGAGACCGAUCCUUGCUAUCAACCUUUUGAUAAAUGAAACCCGCGAACAAAUUGAACGGAAAUAUUAUGCUAAUUGAACGGAAAUAUUAUGCUAAAGUUUUUCUCAAAAACUGUAGCUAAAACGUGAAAGACCAAGAAAAUUAAUUCUCUUGUCAAGAGUAUUUUUUUUUCUCUUACUCUCACGUUUUCUUUCUCUCUUCUGUGUAUAUCUCUCAAUUUUUUUCUUGUCAAUCUUCUUAAGGAUAUGUGUAUAUAUAUACACAUAUUGAGUCAAAAAAGGAAGAAAAGUAGUUGGAGAUUCUACCAACUUAAAUACAAUUCUAUUUAGAAUUGUAUAGCC